UAACUUUGUAGAGGGCGUUAAAGCUUAUUUAUUAAUAGUAAUACAAAUAAUUUUAAUAGGGGGCUCUAAAUUGUAUAAGUUUAUAGGAAAGUUUCAUUGGUUUGAAAGUUAUAAUGUUGAAAUUAGUAGAGAAUAAAUAUAUAUUUUUUGUGAAUUAAUCAAUCCUUACAUUGGAUGGAACAAUUGAGUUUACUAACGGGAAAUUAGUUUGUUUAAAUUGUCUACUAACACAAGUAAUAUGGAGUAAGUUAAUAAAAGGGANNNNNNNNNNNNNNNNNNNNNNNNNNNNNNNNNNNNNNNNNNNNCGCUCUUUGUAAAGAAUCUAAUAUAUAAAGAGUCCUGCCUGCCCGGUGACUUAGUUAAACGGCCGCGGUAUCUUGACCGUGCAAAGGUAGCAUAAUCAUUUGCCUCUUAAAUGGGGGCUGGUAUGAAAGGCAAGACGGAAGUCAAGCUGUCUCUCUCUUAUAUUUUGAAGUUGAUAUUUUUGUGAAGAAGCAGAAAUAAGAUCGUAGGACGAGAAGACCCUAUCGAGCUUUAGUAGAAGUAAGAUACAGUCAUGUUAAUGAUAUUUUAUUGCUAAUUGGUUAUUUUUAAUAACUAGUGUAGUUUUACUAUUAGAGUAAUCAUGUUGUGUAUAUUAUAUUUAGGUUGGGGCAACCGCGGAGAAUAGUUAUCCUCCGCUAAUUUUAUUAGUAAAAAGAUGUUUUUAAAUAUAAGAUUUAUGUAUAAGUGAUCCAUUGUAAUAGAUGAGAAAAGGAAUAAGUUACCGUAGGGAUAACAGCGUAAUUUUUUUGGAGAGUUCAUAUUGAUAAAAAAGUUUGCGACCUCGAUGUUGGAUCGGGAUUUCCUGGGGAUGCAGCAGUUCCUAAUGGUUGGUCUGUUCGACCAUUAAAAUCCU
rnacentral:rRNA from 1 species